CCUACGGGAGGCAUCAGUGGGGGAUCUUGCACAAUGGGGGGAACCCUGAUGCAGCGACGCCGCGUGGGUGAAGGAGCGUUUCGGCGCGUAAAGCCCUAUCGGCAGGGAAGCAGAUGACGGUACCUGGCCAAGAAGCCACGGCUAACUACGUGCCAGCAGCCGCGGUAAUACGUAGGGGGCAAGCGUUAUCCGGAUUUACUGGGUGUAAAGGGGGCGCAGACGGCAAUGCAAGCCAGGAGUGAAAGCCCGGGGCCCAACCCCGGGACUGCUCUUGGAACUGCAUGGCUGGAGUACAGGAGGGGCAGGCGGAAUUCCUAGUGUAGCGGUGAAAUGCGUAGAUAUUAGGAGGAACACCGGUGGCGAAGGCGGCCUGCUGGACUGUGACUGACGUUGAGGCCCGAAGGCGUGGGGAGCAAACAGGAUUAGAUACCCUUGUAGUC
rnacentral:rRNA from 1 species